rnacentral:rRNA from 1 species
ACCAGACUCCUACGGGAGGCAGCAGUGGGGGAUAUUGCACAAUGGGGGGAACCCUGAUGCAGCGACGCCGCGUGGGUGAAGAAGCGCCUCGGCGCGUAAAGCCCUGUCAGCAGGGAAGAAAAUGACGGUACCUGAAGAAGAAGCCCCGGCUAACUACGUGCCAGCAGCCGCGGUAAUACGUAGGGGGCAAGCGUUAUCCGGAUUUACUGGGUGUAAAGGGGGCGCAGACGGCGAUGCAAGCCAGGAGUGAAAGCCCGGGGCCCAACCCCGGGACUGCUCUUGGAACUGCGUGGCUGGAGUGCAGGAGGGGCAGGCGGAAUUCCUGGUGUAGCGGUGAAAUGCGUAGAUAUCAGGAGGAACACCGGUGGCGAAGGCGGCCUGCUGGACAGCAACUGACGCUGAGGCGCGAAAGCGUGGGGAGCAAACAGGAUUAGAUACCCGAGUA